GUGUCCCUACGUGUGUCCCAUGUGCCCCACGUGUCCCUACGCAUGUCCCACGUGCCCCACGUGUCCCUACGUGUGUCCCAUCCGCCCCACGUGUCCCUACACGUGUCCCAUGUGCCCCACGUGUCCCUACACGUGUCCCAUGUGCCCCACGUGUCCCUACGCGUGUCCCACGUGUCACUAGGCGUGUCCCAUGUGCCCCACAUGUCCCUACACGUGUUCCAUGCGCCCCACGUAUCCCUUAGCGUGUCCCACGUGUCCCUACGCGUGUCCCAUGCACCCCACGUGUCCCUAGGCGUGUCCCACGUGUCCCUAGGCGUGUCCCAUGUGCCCCACAUGUCCCUAAGCGUGUCCCAUGCGCCCCACGUGUCCCUUAGCAUGUCCCACGUGCCCCACGUGUCCCUAUGCAUGUCCCACGUGUCCCUAUGCAUGUCCCACAUGUCCCUAGGCGCAUCCCACAUGCCCCUAGGCGCAUCCCACAUGCCCCUAGGCGCAUCCCAUGUGUCCCUAGGCGCGUCCCACGUGCCCCUUAGCGUGUCCCACGUGCCCCUACGCGUGUCCCGCGUGUGGCACGCACCAGGUGGAGGCGGUAGGUGCGCUCGUACUUCAUGUACUUGAGGCAGUACUCGCAGAUCCAGAGC
rnacentral:lncRNA from 1 species